rnacentral:lncRNA from 1 species
AUACUUUUUUCUAUUUUUUAAUAGGUUAUAAAAAUAUCUAGCUCCUAAAAACAUCAACCGGGUUUUUAAGCUAAGACUCCCCUGUUUGACGCCCACGGGCGUCAUACAUAAGCUCUCGUCCGAGAGCAGUGUCUGAAAGUAGACCAUAAAUCGCCCACAAAAACUUUUCGAGCAAUUCAAACAAAAGGAUUCCUAAGAAAUUAUUUUGGUUCAAAAAGCAAAUUUCGGUCUAUUUGAUGGUACGGCGGCACGAUGGUGGUGGUUCGACUAACUCAAAACUAACAUAGCCUCUAUCAGGAAGUCACUGACGCCGUGCAUUCAUAUCACGCGCGGUUACUUGGGGUCGGAUAGUUUCUGCUUCUUUCUAGGGCGUGAUACGUACAGCUCGUUUGUUCUCACAUUUUCUUGCGGCCCACCCUUUCUUUAUUACUUCUUUGCCUUCUUCUGCAAACAGAGCAGAUUCACAAUCAUGAGAAGACCAUCCUACUUUCUUCAGUAUACAGCAGCAGCAGCCCACACUCGAAAAUAGGUUAAGGCCUCCUUUGGUUUGGAGGAAUUUCAUAGAAAUUCUAGAGGAUAGGAUUUCUUAUAGGAUUUUUUCCUUUAGAGCCCUUUGGUUCAUAGGAAUGGAUUCUUAUUCCUACAUAGGAUUGGUUCCUAUCCUCCACAUUUUAUAGGAAAAUAAAAAUGAGCCUAGACUCAGGCCUCUUUUGGUUCAUAGGAUAGAAUUAUCAUAGGAAUAGGAAUUUUGUAGGAAAUGAGAUGGUAUGUAUCUCAAAUCCUAUGAGUAGGAAUAGGAAACGAGAUGUCAUUUGGUUGACACCAAAGGAAUUUUUCCAUUGAGUCUAGGCUCAUUUUUAUUUUCCUAUGAAAUAUGGAGGAUAGGAACCAAUCCUAUGUAGGAAUA